GCUCUGCUGAUGAGUCCCACACAGGAGGAAACAGUUGUCUAGUAC
rnacentral:hammerhead_ribozyme from 1 species